CUGCUUAUAAAGAUUUCAGAACUUUUGAAUUUCUUUUAAUAACGAUGAAAACAGAAGAUGUUGAAGUCAUUUUAAUUCAUAUCUGGCAAUAAGCUGGGCAGAACAUCAGGACAGUCACGCACCAAACAAGGGAACCUACAAAGGACAUGGGGAUUAAAAACAAGACUGUGAAUAAUAAGCCACAAGUAUAAGGAGGUGAUACUGGCAGGAGAGAAGAGUUCUAAGUCCUGAAGCCUGAUGGAGUGCUGAACAGUUAAUGGAUCAUGUUAGGAAAGCUGUGUGAAGCAGUGUUGCUGAAUCAAUCAUGUUGCUGGUGACCGUCCUUGUGGAAGAUUCUGCCUCAAUGUCAGAUCAGAUACUGAGUUGUAAAUUACGUUUUCUUUCUGCACGUAA